GACGAACCGAGCGAACGUUGUUCGGAAUCACUGGGCUUAAAGGGCGCGUAGGCGGGUGUCUAAGUCUGUGGUGAAAUCCAGCAGCUCAACUGUUGAAUUGCCUCGGAUACUGGACGUCUUGAGGAAGGUAGGGGUGUGUGGAACGGUUGGUGGAGCGGUGAAAUGCGUUGAUAUCAACCGGAACUCCGGUGGCGAAGGCGACACACUGGACCUUUUCUGACGCUGAGGCGCGAAAGCUAGGGGAGCAAACGGG
rnacentral:rRNA from 1 species